GAAAUAUAAAAAUCCGUCUCUUAAUUUUUACCUAAAAAAAUUAAGAACCGGUUCUUAAAUAAGAGUUUUAAGAACCGGUUCUUAACUUUUUUAGUUAAAAGUUAAGAGACGGGUUCUUAUAUUCC
rfam:Brassica napus, WGS project CCCW01000000 data, contig: 15854